ACUCUAGCUUCUGGAUAAUGUCUUUUUUUUUUUUCAUAUUCUUGUGGCUGUGUCAAUGCUUGACACGUGAGGGGGUCAUAGUAUACAUUUAUUAAAAAAAUCAUUAAGUCCCGUCCAUGGUAUAUAACAUGGUCCAUCUCUUGAGAAAAGUGAACUGCUCAUGUCAGCUUUGUUCUAUCAUCUGAUUUGCUGAAUUUUCUACUUGAAAUUGAAUUCUCCUGUUUGUUUUUUUUUUUUUCUGGAGCCCGGAAACUUACAGAUUUUAACUAGAAGGAUCAGUCACCAUGGUUCAAUUAUCCAUAGACCUUGGGUCAAACAACAUUCAGUUUUUCUUCACUGUGUUGGAUACUGACUGGACCAUUUACUGAGCAUCCGUCAUGCACUGGCAACUGAGACCAUGAAGACAAACAUGGUCCAUAACCCGAAAAGCGACAGUCCAGUGGAGGAGAAAUUUUAGCCACCAAUAAUAACAUUUUGAAAAAUCAAAUGAAUAAAUGACUGAAGCUUAUGUCUAUCAUGA